rnacentral:rRNA from 1 species
AUUGAACGCUGGCGGCAGGCCUAACACAUGCAAGUCGAACGAGUGGCGGACGGGUGAGUAAUGUCUGGGAAACUGCCUGAUGGAGGGGGAUAACUACUGGAAAAGGUAGCUACUACCGCAUACCAUCAGAUGUGCCCAGAUGGGAUAAGCUUGUGGGUGGGGUAACGGCUGACCAAGGCGACGAUCCCUAGCUGGUCUGAGAGGAUGAGCAGCCACACUGGGACUGAGACACGGUCCAGACUCCUACGGGAGGCAGCAGUGGGGAAUAUUGGACAAUGGCCGCAAGCCUGAUGCAGCCACGCCGCGUGUAUGAAGAAGGCUUUCGGUUUGUAAAGUACUUUCAGUGGGGAAGCGUUACCCGCAGAGGAAGCACCGGCUAACUCCGUGCCAGCAGCCGCGGUAAUAC